CUGGCUCAGGACGAACGCUGGCGGCGUGCCUAAUACAUGCAAGUCGAGCGAACCACUUCGGUGGUUAGCGGCGGACGGGUGAGUAACACGUGGGCAACCUGCCUGUAAGACUGGGAUAACUUCGGGAAACCGGAGCUAAUACCGGAUAAUCCUUUUCCUCUCAUGAGGRAAAGCUGAAAGACGGUUUCGGCUGUCACUUACAGAUGGGCCCGCGGCGCAUUAGCUAGUUGGUGAGGUAACGGCUCACCAAGGCGACGAUGCGUAGCCGACCUGAGAGGGUGAUCGGCCACACUGGGACUGAGACACGGCCCAGACUCCUACGGGAGGCAGCAGUAGGGAAUCUUCCACAAUGGACGAAAGUCUGAUGGAGCAACGCCGCGUGAGCGAUGAAGGCCUUCGGGUCGUAAAGCUCUGUUGUUAGGGAAGAACAAGU
rnacentral:rRNA from 1 species